CCUGACAUCGAUCGAGCGGAAAAAAAUUUCAGAAA
rnacentral:rRNA from 1 species